AGUGGAGCCUGCGGCUUAAUUUGACUCAACACGGGAAACCUCACCAGGCCCGGACACCGGAAGGAUUGACAGAUUGAGAGCUCUUUCUUGAUUCGGUGGGUGGUGGUGCAUGGCCGUUCUUAGUUGGUGGAGCGAUUUGUCUGGUUAAUUCCGAUAACGAACGAGACUCUAGCCUGCUAACUAGGCGUAUUUCGACAUCCCAAAGGCCCGCCAGCUCGAGGUUUCGGCCUCUUGCUGUGUGCGGUUUUUACUGUCGGCGUACAAACAAUUCUUCUUAGAGGGACAGGCGGCUCUUAGCCGCACGAGAUUGAGCAAUAACAGGUCUGUGAUGCCCUUAGAUGUUCUGGGCCG
rnacentral:rRNA from 2 species